GCGGCCAUAGUUUAAUGGUAGGACGGCUCGUUGCCAACGAGCAGGUGGGAGUUCGAUUCUCCCUGGCCGCA
rnacentral:tRNA from 1 species